rnacentral:rRNA from 1 species
UGGGGAAUAUUGCGCAAUGGGGGCGAACCCUGACGCAGCAACGCCGCGUGAUUGAAGAAGGUCUUCGGAUUGUAAAAAAUACUUUUAUUCAGGGACGAAGAAGUGACGGUACCUGAUGAAGAAGCCCCGGCUAACUACGUGCCAGCAGCCGCGGUAAUACGUAGGGGGCGAAGCGUUAUCCGGAUUUACUGGGUGUAAAGGGAGCGUAGACGGCAGGGCAAGUCUGAAGUGAAAGGCGGGGGCUCAACCCCCGGACUGCUUUGGAAACUGUCCGGCUGGAGUGCAGGAGAGGUAAGUGGAAUUCCUAGUGUAGCGGUGAAAUGCGUAGAUAUUAGGAGGAACACCAGUGGCGAAGGCGGCUUACUGGACUGUAACUGACGUUGAGGCUCGAAAGCGUGGGGAGCAAACAGGAUUAGAUACCCUGGUAGU